rnacentral:rRNA from 1 species
UCAUUACUGAGUUUACGCUCUACAACCCUUUGUGAACAUACCUACAACUGUUGCUUCGGCGGGUAGGGUCUCCGCGACCCUCCCGGCCUCCCGCCUCCGGGCGGGUCGGCGCCCGCCGGAGGAUAACCAAACUCUGAUUUAACGACGUUUCUUCUGAGUGGUACAAGCAAAUAAUCAAAACUUUUAACAACGGAUCUCUUGGUUCUGGCAUCGAUGAAGAACGCAGCGAAAUGCGAUAAGUAAUGUGAAUUGCAGAAUUCAGUGAAUCAUCGAAUCUUUGAACGCACAUUGCGCCCGCCAGCAUUCUGGCGGGCAUGCCUGUUCGAGCGUCAUUUCAACCCUCAAGCUCUGCUUGGUGUUGGGGCCCUACAGCCGAUGUAGGCCCUCAAAGGUAGUGGCGGACCCUCCCGGAGCCUCCUUUGCGUAGUAACUUUACGUCUCGCACUGGGAUCCGGAGGGACUCUUGCCGUAAAACCCCCCAAUUUUCCAAAGGUUGACCUCGGAUCAGGUAGGAAUACCCGCUGAANNUAAGCAUAUCAAUAAGCGGA